rnacentral:rRNA from 1 species
UACGUAGGGUCCAAGCGUUGUCCGGAAUCAUUGGGCGUAAAGAGCGUGUAGGCGGCUUGUUAAGUCUUGCGUGAAAUCUCGGGGCUCAACCCCGAGCGGUCGUGAGAAACUGGCAGGCUAGAGUGCGGGAGAGGAGAGUGGAAUUCCUGGUGUAGCGGUGAAAUGCGCAGAUAUCAGGAAGAACACCCGUGGCGAAGGCGGCUCUCUGGAACGCAACUGACGCUGAGACGCGAAAGCGUGGGGAGCAAACAGG